rnacentral:hammerhead_ribozyme from 1 species
AUCCAGCUGAAGAGUCCCAAAUAGGACGAAACGGCCGUCCUAUAU